AAGGCUUUGGCUUAAUUAAAGCGUCUGUUUUGCAUGCAGAAGAUGUGAGUUAGAGCCUCGCAAGUCUUA
rnacentral:tRNA from 1 species